UACGAAGGGGGCUAGCGUUGCUCGGAAUCACUGGGCGUAAAGGGUGCGUAGGCGGGUCUUUAAGUCAGGGGUGAAAUCCUGGAGCUCAACUCCAGAACUGCCUUUGAUACUGGCGAUCUUGAGUCCGGGAGAGGUGAGUGGAACUGCGAGUGUAGAGGUGAAAUUCGUAGAUAUUCGCAAGAACACCAGUGGCGAGGGCGGCUCACUGGCCCGGUACUGACGCUGAGGUGCGAAAGCGUGGGGAGCAAACAGG
rnacentral:rRNA from 1 species